rnacentral:tRNA from 1 species
AGUUCUAUACUUUAAGAAAAAGACUUGAUUUGCAUUCAAUAAUUGAACACCCAUUCUAGAACUA